rnacentral:tRNA from 1 species
AGGGAGAAGAGGAUUCAUCUGAAAGAAGCCGCUAACUAUCUUUCAAAGCGGUUAAACUCCGUUAUCUCCCUC